rnacentral:rRNA from 1 species
AUUCCAGCUCCAAUAGCGUACAUUAAAGUUGUUGCAGUUAAAAAGCUCGUAGUUGGAUUUCUGGUGUCGCAGUGCUUCCGCGUGUUUAAUUACAUGUUGAGUUGUGUUUGCGUCGCCAUCUUUUAGCAGCACCUUCCUGGCAUUAGGUUGUUGGGUUGGUAAUGCUAAUCGUUUACUGUGAAGAAAUUAGAGUGUUCAAAGCAGGCUUAUGCCGUUGAAUACGUUAGCAUGGAAUAAUGAAAUAGGACCUUGGUGCUAUUUUGUUGGUUUCGAGCACCGAAGUAAUGAUUAACAGGGACAGUCAGGGGCACUCGUAUUCCGCCGAGAGAGGUGAAAUUCUCAGACCAGCGGGAGACGAACCACUGCGAAAGCAUUUACCAAGGAUGUUUUCAUUG